UGGCGGCCGACGCACUUCUGCUCGCACUUCCGGCCCCGCCCGCGUUUGCUCGCAAGUCACGUGACCAUGCCCGACUUCAGGGGACUGGGAAGUACAGCCCUGCCACGUCCCAGGAGGAGAACCAGAGUAUCCGCGAAAGCCCUAAUGACACCCAGCUGUGGCUCCUUCGGUCCCCAGGCCCCGGACACAGGCUGUUGGAUGGACCAGCCUUUCUGAAAGAUCCCAUGCCUGCUCAAGGACAAUGAGUGCAUCCAGUCCACACAGACUGUCACCCCCAACGGCGAAGACAGUGACAUCAAGAAAAUUAAGAAGGUCUGCACCAUUCCUCUGGGCUGGCACAACUGUCUCAGCCUCUUGAGAAGGCCUGCUGGCACGUCCCAGUGUCAGGAGUGUCCACCUACUGUUCCACAGCCCCCAGGGCAUGCCAUCCCCUCCCCCACCAAACUCAGCUCUAAAGACAGAACCCACGGCUCCUCACCCCUGAACAGUACCUUGUCAGGCCAUUUCUCUGCUUGUCCCUGUGAAGUGGGGGAGGCUCAGCCCCAUUGUAUAGAUGAGAAAACUGAGGCUCCACGAGAGGAAGGAGCAGAUAGAAGCAGGACAGGAGCCCAGGCCAUGAGACUCACAGCUGAGAGCUCUCCUCACUGCACUGGGCAGCCUCAGUAAGACCCCUGAGGCCACCUCUCCACCGUCAAUCCCUUGCAUGCCCCCCCCACAGAGGGUGUCAUGCAAACACUUCCUCUCACAACUGCCCCCUUUAGUCCCCAGCAGCCCUCAGCACGGAAACCCAGCCUUAUACGACCCCAUAGUUGGCCCCACUGGUUUUGCCCUGUUAGAGUCCAGAAGGGGCAGAUGUCUCAGAAGGUCGUGCCCAGCACCAUGGGCCACCCCGUGGGGGUGUGGAGGGAGAGAACAUGAUUUGUGCUGCAGCUUGCCAGACUCGAAUCAGGGGAGCCUGACUCAUUCCCAAGAAAACCAGGGGAAAUCAGAGAAUCCUGCUUGUUGAGAGGGCAGGAGGAGCCCAGUGCCAUCCAGACCAGAAGCUGCAGACUGGCACCCACGGGCAAGUUCAGCCUACCUGUGUGUUCGGGGUUUUUAGUCCACACGGUGUUUUUUCUUUUUAAUUUGCUGUCAGUGCUUUAAAAGCUAAAUAUUCCACAUAAAAAUCUGGGUGUCUGGUUUCUCAGAAAUAGCUAACAUCCAUUAAGCACUUUCUAUGUGCCAGACACUGUUCUAGAGCUUUAUGCAGAUUAACUCAUUCCUAACUAAAAACUCCCUGAGGUUUCAUUGUUAUCUGCAUUUUACAUAUGGGGAAGCUGAGGCGCAGAGAGGCAAAGUGACUUUCCUAGGUCACACAGCUGAGUAUUUGCAGAGUGACAUUUAAAUCCUUAAGAAUUUUAAGAGAAUGAGAAUCAGCUUUCCCUUGUUACACUUAGUUUUAUCUUGCUUGUAGAUACAACCUGUGUGUUGUAACUGGGUUGAGGUUAAUACUGACAAGAGUUUUCUUUCCCUCUAGGCUAACGAUAUCUUUCUUUUUUCAACUAUGAUUUUCCCUGAAGGUACACUGUAAGAAGAUAGAAAAUAUAUUUACUUACAGUGUUUUUUUAUUUUUUAUUUAUUUUCUUUGAGGAAGAUUAGUUCUGACCUAACAUCUGCCACCAGUCCUCCUCUUUUUGCUUUCCUUUCUUUCUUUCUUUCGUUUGUUUUUGCUGUGGAAGAUUGGCCCUGAGCUAACAUCCAUGCCCAUCUUCCUCUACUCUAUAUGUGGGACGCCUGCCACAGCAUGGCUUGAUAAGCGGUGCAUAGGUCUGCACCCGGGAUCUGAACUGGCAAAUCCUGGGCUGCUGAUGCAGAGUGUGUGAACUUAACCACUGCACCACCAGUCCAGCCCCUAUUUACUUACAAUUUUAAUUUAAGCAGAGUAGUCUUCAUCAGAGAGUCUUCAGGUCAUGGUUUUAUGAGUGGUGAACUUAUCGUUACUUGUGAUUUCUCUUUUCCCAAACUUCUUUCUCAGCCAUGAGUUUGACCAUUAUCUUAUAUACUCCAAGUAAUUAACAGAGAGGAGGGAAGCUCAUAGAUCUAGUAAUAGACUGAGAAGGACCAGCAAAGCUGCCCCAAACCUUUCCUUCACCUGAAAACACUUGGGCUUCUGCUUUUAGUAUAUCAGUUUCUUCUAUUUAAUUCUUCUAGUAUAAUUUUAUAUUCUAAUGGAGAGGGAAAAAUAUGUAACUGCGGAUUCUUCUAGGAGUGUGCUUCUCAUUUUUUAUUGUGUUUGAAAUUUCCUAAUAUCACAAGUAGUGAUAGCUCCUACCUUUGAAAAUUUCAUCAAUAUUCACUACUGUGUAGGAGAUGAAUUUCUCUGUUCCUAUGAAAAGUAUAAUGCAAAGAAGAAAUGGCCAUAAGUGUUCUUUCCUCUCACUGUGACAUUAUUCAGACAGUUGGUGAGCUAUACUUUUCAAAUUACCUGAUGUAGCCAAUUCAUAAUACUUGUAGCUUCUCCUUCCAGGAAUCAAGGACAAAUAAUUUUCUAUAGAAAAUCAAUUAAUUGUUAAAAUUUUAAUGAAAUUAAAAUUAAAUUUAAAUUUAAUUGAAAUUAAAGUGAAUUAUUUAAAUGACAGUUUAACUGAUAUAAGAAUCAUUCUUUGUUUAUUAUUAUUGUUUCUUUAGGACACCUAAUCAUAUUUAUAUGUGGUUUUAUAUGUAUGCUUGUGUGUGUGUGUGUGUGUGUGUGCGUUCUGAGGCAUCCUUCUUGUAAAAGGCUUAUUUCACAAGGAGCAAAUAGAUGAAAUAUUCAGAUAAAUUUGGUGCUCUGAAAGAGCAAUCAGGAAUCAAUGGUGUUAGUAUUAAGAGUCUUAUUUUUAUAGUCAAAAGAGAGAUAAACAUUUUGGUCAUCCAUAUCUAAAAUAAUGUACAAUUUUUUAACAUAUCAGAAAAACAAAUAAACAAUGGAUUUUGAAAUGUCUGGCCUCUCCACUGUGGGCCAAAGCAGAAUGGUAUAAUAGAUACUCAAAAGAAUAUUCUUAUGGCACAGAAAACUGCCAGAAGAGAGAAGCCACAUCAAGUGGAGGCUUCAGAAAGACCAAUGACUUGUGUGAGAUCCCUUGUGGGUGGAGGACUCAAUGGCACAUGGAUUUGAGUAGGAUAAGUUGCUCAUAGUUUCUAUUUAAAACUCCAUUCUGAGGAUAAAAGAAAUCAUGGGAUACUAAUCUCAAUUAAUAGUUAACUCAGAAAAUGGUAUUUACUAAUGGCCUUAAUGGUAAAUAUACCACCAGGUAGUAAAUUUUACCCAGUAAAUUUCAAAGAGUUCAAUUAAACAGUCUUCUUGUGGACCUGCCAUGUGAUAAUCAUUGCACAAAAGUUCUGUAUUUCACUUUUUAAAAAUAACAACACAGUUUAAAUGUUUGAGGUGUUCAUAUUUUAUAGACUCUCUGGGUAUCUUUUGAAUACUGCAAAGAAUUAAUUGAUCAGACUAUAUAUGAAUAAUCACCCUGGAUGAAUUUUUAAAAUAAUGUCUAGGGUUGCAUAGAUACAUUAUGGCUAUUCUCUCUAAUAUUUUAACAUUUAAAAAAUUAUUUUCAAACAAAAUUUUAGAGGAGAAAACAUCUUAAAG
rnacentral:lncRNA from 1 species